GACGAACGCUGGCGGCGUGCCUAAUACAUGCAAGUAGAACGCUGAAGAGAGGAGCUUGCUCUUCUUGGAUGAGUUGCGAACGGGUGAGUAACGCGUAGGUAACCUGCCUUGUAGCGGGGGAUAACUAUUGGAAACGAUAGCUAAUACCGCAUAACAAUGGAUGACACAUGUCAUUUAUUUGAAAGGGGCAAUUGCUCCACUACAAGAUGGACCUGCGUUGUAUUAGCUAGUAGGUGAGGUAACGGCUCACCUAGGCGACGAUACAUAGCCGACCUGAGAGGGUGAUCGGCCACACUGGGACUGAGACACGGCCCAGACUCCUACGGGAGGCAGCAGUAGGGAAUCUUCGGCAAUGGGGGCAACCCUGACCGAGCAACGCCGCGUGAGUGAAGAAGGUUUUCGGAUCGUAAAGCUCUGUUGUAAGUCAAGAACGAGUGUGAGAGUGGAAAGUUCACACUGUGACGGUAGCUUACCAGAAAGGGACGGCUAACUACGUGCCAGCAGCCGCGGUAAUACGUAGGUCCCGAGCGUUGUCCGGAUUUAUUGGGCGUAAGGCGAGCGCAGGCGGUUUGAUAAGUCUGAAGUUAAAGGCUGUGGCUCAACCAUAGUUCGCUUUGGAAACUGUCAAACUUGAGUGCAGAAGGGGAGAGUGGAAUUCCAUGUGUAGCGGUGAAAUGCGUAGAUAUAUGGAGGAACACCGGUGGCGAAAGCGGCUCUCUGGUCUGUAACUGACGCUGAGGCUCGAAAGCGUGGGGAGCGAACAGGAUUAGAUACCCUGGUAGUCCACGCCGUAAACGAUGAGUGCUAGGUGUUGGAUCCUUUCCGGGAUUCAGUGCCGCAGCUAACGCAUUAAGCACUCCGCCUGGGGAGUACGACCGCAAGGUUGAAACUCAAAGGAAUUGACGGGGGCCCGCACAAGCGGUGGAGCAUGUGGUUUAAUUCGAAGCAACGCGAAGAACCUUACCAGGUCUUGACAUCCCGAUGCUAUUUCUAGAGAUAGAAAGUUACUUCGGUACAUCGGUGACAGGUGGUGCAUGGUUGUCGUCAGCUCGUGUCGUGAGAUGUUGGGUUAAGUCCCGCAACGAGCGCAACCCCUAUUGUUAGUUGCCAUCAUUCAGUUGGGCACUCUAGCGAGACUGCCGGUAAUAAACCGGAGGAAGGUGGGGAUGACGUCAAAUCAUCAUGCCCCUUAUGACCUGGGCUACACACGUGCUACAAUGGUUGGUACAACGAGUUGCGAGUCGGUGACGGCAAGCUAAUCUCUUAAAGCCAAUCUCAGUUCGGAUUGUAGGCUGCAACUCGCCUACAUGAAGUCGGAAUCGCUAGUAAUCGCGGAUCAGCACGCCGCGGUGAAUACGUUCCCGGGCCU
rnacentral:rRNA from 1 species